rnacentral:tRNA from 1 species
UAAUAAGAAAUAAAUUUAUUUAUAUUUAGUUUCGACCUAAAAUUAGCCUUAUGGCCUUAUUUU